GACGUAGGGCGCGAGCGUUGUCCGGAUUUAUUGGGCGUAAAGAGCUCGUAGGCGGCUUGUCGCGUCGUUCGUGAAAACUUGGGGCUCAACCCCAAGCUUGCGGUCGAUACGGGCAGGCUAGAGUUCGGUAGGGGAGACUGGAAUUCCUGGUGUAGCGGUGAAAUGCGCAGAUAUCAGGAGGAACACCGAUGGCGAAGGCAGCUCGCUGGGACGGUACUGACGCUGAGGCGCGAAAGCGUGGGGAGCAAACAGG
rnacentral:rRNA from 1 species